GGCGUCUCCAUAGCCUAUCUUGAAUCAAAAACCAAAGAGUCUACAUGUGGGCGAGUAGUCGGGUAGAAAACCAAAUUUUGUAACGAGCGUGAGCCUUGCGAAGUUUGGACCACUGGCAACAUCACUCUGAGCAGAUAAGUUGAGACCCCUUAGAUGAUGAUUUAUGCAUAAGUAAGGAAGAAAGGGGAAACUCUGGCUGAGGCUUGU
rnacentral:rRNA from 1 species